CCUACGGGAGGCAGCAGUGAGGAAUAUUGGUCAAUGGGCUUACGCCUGAACCAGCCAAGUCGCGUGAGGGAAUACUGCCCUAUGGGUUGCAAACCUCUUUUGUCAGGGAGCAACUCCGGCUACGUGUAGCCGGACUGAGAGUACCUGAAGAAAAAGCAUCGGCUAACUCCGUGCCAGCAGCCGCGGUAAUACGGAGGAUGCGAGCUUUAUCCGGAUUUAUUGGGUUUAAAGGGUGCGGAGGCGGAAUGCCAAGUCAGCGGGAAAAUGGCGGGGCUCAACCUCGCUCCGCCGUUGAAACUGGCGUUCUUGAGUAGGCGAGAAGUAUGCGGAAUGCGUGGUGUAGCAGUGAAAUGCAUAGAUAUCGCGCAGAACUCCGAUUGCGAAGGCAGCAUACCGGCGCCCAACUGACGCUGAAGCACGAAGGCGUGGGUAUCGAACAGGAUUAGAUACCCGGGUAGUC
rnacentral:rRNA from 1 species